rnacentral:rRNA from 1 species
UACAGAGGUCCCAAGCGUUGUUCGGAUUCACUGGGCGUAAAGGGUGCGUAGGUGGUGAGGUAAGUCGGAUGUGAAAUCUCCGGGCUCAACCCGGAAAUGGCAUUGGAAACUACCUUGCUAGAGGGUUUGAGGGGGGAUUGGAAUACUUGGUGUAGCAGUGAAAUGCGUAGAUAUCAAGUGGAACACCAGUGGCGAAGGCGAAUCCCUGGAAAAUACCUGACACUGAGGCACGAAAGCUAGGGGAGCAAACAGG